rnacentral:tRNA from 2 species
GGAGAGUUGUCCGAGUGGCCGAAGGAGCACGAUUGGAAAUCGUGUAACGGUCAAAAGCCGUUCGAGGGUUCGAAUCCCUCACUCUCCGCCA